UCGUUGGUCAUGCCGGAAUAUCCAUAUCUAAUCCCCCCAAUACCUACAGUAAAUAAUGUAAAACAAAUAGGUUGCCCUGUCAGCUUAUGGCAAUAGGUAAAAAGCAUAGUAUUGAGAAUGAUUGAGGUUGUUACCAGGUGUAUCCUGAGAAGUGCAUGUUCUAGGUAAUAUUCCGCAUUCACCAAGAUCGCUCCGGCGUUGCAUAUGAACGUAGCCCUGCAGCCACACAUGAAACAAUUAAGCCAUAUACCAGUUUUAUAACGUUGACUUGAAUCAGGUUUAUGUACCAGUUUUAUAACGUUGGUUACGUUCCUCAAUGGGCUAUGCUGUGAAAUCAGUGAGGGCGCCGCUGUUUUUUCAGACACUUCUUUACAAUUAACACCACUCUGGGCUGCAGCCAUCUUCUUUUGCUGGCGGGAUAUACGCUGUCUGUGUAUAUGAUCUUCUUUUUGCUGGAUAGACAAUCGAUCAUACCAGCUUUGACCACUUAGAUGUUUUUUCCGUUGUUGAAUCUAUUCAUCCCGAUUGUUUGCUAGGUCUGUAGCUGGGCCAGAGUUAUCAUAGUGCAAAGUGGAUGUGCCCUGUUAAUCGAGAGAAACAUUACUGCAACCCACAGUAGACUCACCACCUGAACAAUGCAAACAUUGGUAUAAAUAAGAUUAGAGAGCAACAUUGUUAUGGUCGGUCUGACCUAUACACGCAAGUGGCUAGUUGUGGGCUUAGCCCAAGUAAAUUAGGGACUUAGCCCAAGUAAAUUAGGGUUUAGAGGAGGCCGUCCUCCUAUAUAAACACAUGUACCCUUCGUGAUUAAUCAGACAAAUAUUCAGUAUCAUACUGUCUCGUCUCCUGAAGGGAGACGGGAGACCCCCUGCGCCCAGCCGCACCCAACCCUAGUGUAGCGACCCAGGAGAAAUCCCCAUAUUAGAUUUGUUUGUUUGUUUUCUUUUAUGCAUAAUCAUGGCAUCAAUCACUUUGCAUGUUUUAAUAAAAUAUCUCGAGAAAAUUAUUUUAUUAAAACUCUAUGUUUGCUUGCAAAAUUAUUCCAAGGUUAAAUAUAAACCUCCCACCUUUCUUCAUAUAUAUAUAUAUUUUUAAAAACAAAUAAGCUGAGUACAAAUAUUUUAAAAUGUUUGCAAGUGCUACAAAAGAAAAUCCAUUCAAAACCUUCCACUCUCGUUUUUGUUUUCUACAAAUCUGUGAGAGGAAUAAAGAAAAGCACAAGGAAAAGAGAGAAGAAGAGAGACAGUAGUGCAGCAGCCAAACUACCCUUUUCUCUGUCGUCUUCUUCAUGCUCACAAGGAGAGGGUGCUCUUUUGACCAUGGCCGACGUCACCUCCUCAACAACUGCUCCUUUCCCUCCUCAGCAAACCCUAACCUCCUCCAUCUUCCCCUCCUUGCGCCGCCACUUGUUUUCCCCUCGUCCAAAACUAAACGCACAAGGCAUGAGAAAAACAGCCACUUGACACACAGAAAAGCCACCACCGCACCUAGCUGGCCAUGGCGCCGCCGCAGCUGACCACCCCACGCCCGUCCGAGACCACCAGAAGCUCCGUCUCGUCGCCCCGGUCCUGCUCGUCCAAGGAAUCGAGCCGGCGUUCUCCCAAUCAAUGGCAAAUUCGCGGAUUCCCAUCCCCGGCCGCCGCGCUCCGGCGAGGAUUCCGGCUGCUCCGUCCAUCCUCCGACCUCGCUGACCGCACCAACACGUUCCUGGUCGUCGUCGCUGGCGCCGCUUUCGUAAUCCUCUGGUCGAGGGCUGUCUCCAUCGAGUUGCCGCAACGAAGUGUACCUCUGGUCCCGCAGUUCCCGUCUCCGUUCGCCCUGCAACGUUGAACCUGCGCUCGGCACUAAGGUGAUCGUCUGCAGCCUGCACCCUGUUCGCCCGACCCAGUAUUCAGUUUCGUCAGCGCUCCUCAUGAACCAGCAGCUCUCGUGCUUUUCUUCCUGGAUCCGGCGACAGCAGCUGUAGGUCAUCUGCUCACUUGCAUACGCAGAACUUUUGUUCAACUCCACUACCAUGUACAGAUCAUGGCGUCUCGAUCUACGAGCUGGCCAAUUGCUAGACAAUGUUUAUCCGACCGUGUCCGUGUCCCUUCAUGUCCAACGCGACCUCUACUUCCUCGUCGUCGAGAUCUACUUGCGGUCUGUCGCGGUUCAAGCAUUUGCUUCUUCCCGGAUAGGAUCACGAAGUGGUGUGGUGAGAUACGACAAGUUCUCCGGAUGUCCCUCGGCAAGCUUUAACAGGCAAGC